rnacentral:rRNA from 1 species
AGAGUUUGAUCCUGGCUCAGAACGAACGCUGGCGGCGUGGAUUAGGCAUGCAAGUCGUGCGAGAAAGGGGUGGCAACACCCCGAGUAAAGCGGCGAACUGGUGAGUAACAGGUGGGUAAUGUGCCCUGAAGUGGGGGAUAACACCGGGAAACCGGUGCUAAUACCGCAUGUGAUCUUUGGCUCUGCGGGGCUGGAGGUUAAAGCAGUAGUGCGCUUCAGGAUCGGCCCGCCCCCGAUUAGCUAGUUGGUGAGGUCAAGGCUCACCAAGGCUACGAUCGGUAGCUGGUCUGAGAGGAUGGUCAGCCACACUGGAACUGAGAUACGGUCCAGACUCCUACGGGGGGCAGCAGUCUAGAGGCUUCGGCAAUGGGGGCAACCCUGACCGAGCGACGCCGCGUGUGGGAUUGAAGGCCUUCGGGUCGUAAACCACUGUCAUAGGGGAAGAAUGCCCGGAUGGUGAAUCCGGGAGGGACGGUACCCUAGAAGGAAGCCCCGGCUAACUCCGUGCCAGCAGCCGCGGUAAUACGGAGGGGGCAAGCGUUGUUCGGAUUUACUGGGCGUAAAGGGUGUGUAGGCGGCCGCGCAAGUCUGGUGUGAAAUCUCCGACGCUUAACGUGGAGGGGUCACUGGAAACUGCGCGGCUCGAGUAUGGUAGAGGCAAGCGGAAUUCCUGGUGUAGCGGUGGAAUGUGUAGAUAUCAGGAAGAACACCGGUGGCGAAGGCGGCUUGCUGGGCCAUCACUGACGCUGAGACACGAAAGCGUGGGGAGCAAACGGGAUUAGAUACCCCGGUAGUCCACGCUGUAAACGGUGCGCACUAGUUGUGGGAGGUAUCGACCCCUCCUGUGACGAAGUCAACACAUUAAGUGCGCCGCCUGGGGGGUACGGCCGCAAGGUUGAAACUCAAAGGAAUUGACGGGGGCCCGCACAAGCGGUGGAGCAUGUGCUUUAAUUCGAUGCAACGCGAAGAACCUUACCUGGGUUUGACAUGGGAGUGAAAGUUCCCAGAGAUGGGAGCCUUUCCGCAAGGAACACUCUACACAGGUGCUGCAUGGUUGUCGUCAGCUCGUGUCGUGAGAUGUUUGGUUAAGUCCAGCAACGAGCGCAACCCUCGCCCUUAGUUGCCAUCAGGUAACGCUGGGAACUCUAAGGGGACCGCCUAGUUUAACUAGGAGGAAGGUGGGGAUGACGUCAAAUCAUCAUGGCCCUUACGUCCAGGGCAAGACACGUGCUACAAUGGCCGGUACAAUGGGAAGCGAGAUCGCGAGAUUAAGCCAAUCCCAUAAAACCGGUCUCAGUUCGGAUUGAAGUCUGCAAUUCGACUUCAUGAAGCUGGAAUCGCUAGUAAUCGUGGAUCAGCAUGCCACGGUGAAUACGUUCCCGGGCCUUGUACACACCGCCCGUCAAGCCAUGAAAGAUGGCAGUACCCAAAGUCGAUUCUCUAACCCGCAAGGGGAGAUUUCGCCUAAGGUAAGGCCAUUGAUUGGGGCUAAGUCGUAACAAGGUAUCC